UUAAAUUGAAGAGUUUGAUCAUGGCUCAGAUUGAACGCUGGCGGCAGGCCUAACACAUGCAAGUCGAGCGGC
rnacentral:rRNA from 2 species